GUCGGGAGUUAGGAAAUGUAAGUGCGCUAAUAUCGCAUUUAUUUGACGAAGGCUUCAGAGGAAGUCACGGCUAACUCUGUGCCAGCAGCCGCGGUAAUACAGAGGUGGCAAGCGUUGUUCGGAAUUAUUGGGCGUAAAGAGCACGUAGGUGGGUUUGUAAGUCAGAUGUGAAAGCCUUCUGUUCAACGGAAGAAUUGCAUCUGAAACUACGAAUCUUGAGUGUAGGAGGGGAGAGUGGAACUUCUGGU
rnacentral:rRNA from 1 species